UACGGGGGGAGCAAGCGUUGUUCGGAUUUACUGGGCGUAAAGGGCGCGUAGGCGGCCACCGCAAGUCGACUGUGAAAUCUCCGGGCUUAACCCGGAAAGGUCAGCCGAUACUGCGCGGCUAGAGUGCAGAAGGGGCAACUGGAAUUCUCGGUGUAGCGGUGAAAUGCGUAGAUAUCGAGAGGAACACCUGCGGCGAAGGCGGGUUGCUGGGCUGACACUGACGCUGAUGCGCGAAAGCCAGGGGAGCGAACGGG
rnacentral:rRNA from 1 species